GACAACAGUUGAUUACGCAGUUUUAGGAGCUUCCUCGAAACUAGCUGCCAGCCUGGCGACGUAUCCGUUUCAGGUCAUUCGUUCUCGCUUGCAGCAACGGCCCAUGAAUGGGGUUCCAAGAUACAUGGACAGCUGGCAUGCCGUGAAGGAAACUGCUCGGUCAGUUUUAUUUAUCUUUUUUAUGAAAAAUCUUAAUUAAUACUAUAUUAUGAUUUAUAAAUAUAAAUUAAUUAUGGGUGGGUUGCUGCAGGUUAGAAGGCGUAAGAGGUUUUUACAGAGGGAUAACAGCAAACCUUUUGAAAAACCUGCCUGCAUCUUCAAUAACUUUCAUUGUGUAUGAAAACGUUCUGCAUCUGCUAAAACUUGCAAAGACAACUAGCGAAAGGGCAAACAACUGACACACACACAUGUACUGUAUUUAUUUUAUGGUACCACUUUUGGCAUAAAAACAACAAUUCAUUUAA